rnacentral:rRNA from 1 species
UCGGGAAUUUUGGGCAAUGGGCGAAAGCCUGACCCAGCAACGCCGCGUGAAGGAUGAAGUAUUUCGGUAUGUAAACUUCGAAAGAAUAGGAAGAAUAAAUGACGGUACUAUUUAUAAGGUCCGGCUAACUACGUGCCAGCAGCCGCGGUAAUACGUAGGGACCAAGCGUUGUUCGGAUUUACUGGGCGUAAAGGGCGCGUAGGCGGCAUGACAAGUCACUUGUGAAAUCUCUGGGCUUAACCCAGAACGGCCAAGUGAUACUGUCGCGCUAGAGUGCAGAAGGGGCAAUCGGAAUUCUUGGUGUAGCGGUGAAAUGCGUAGAUAUCAAGAGGAACACCUGUGGCGAAGGCGGCCACCUGGUUGGAUACUGACGCUGAGACGCGAAAGCGUGGGGAGCAAACAGGAUUAGAUACCCGUGUAGUCCCUGAGCGGGCUGGCAAGGCGCAU